ensembl:lncRNA
UCCAUGUGUUCACCAAUGCAGAAGCUCUCCAAACCCUGUCCUUCGGGGUUUUAAUGGAGGCUUCAUUGCAUAGGCCUGGUUGAUUAAAUCAUUGGCCAUUGGUGACUGAUCUUAGUCUCCAGCUCCUCUCCCCACCCUAGAGGUGAGGGUGGGAGUGGGGAGAGACUGAAAGUUCCAACCCUCUAAUCACAUGGUUGGUUCCCCGGGCAACCAGCCCCCAUCCAAGAGUUUUAGGAGCUCUGUGCCAGAAAUGGGGAUGAAGAUCACAUAUAUAUUUCUUACUGCCUGUGAAGUCGAGAGAAAAUUUUAAAUAGAAUGGGGAAUUUCACCUUUGUCCUCUUAGAACUCAUCUCCCCCUUUCCUCCAUUGCAACACCUUUGAGAUCUAUUUUUGCCAUUUCCACAGAACUGGAGGCUGUGAAGUUGUCUGACCACCUAUUAAGUUGCUAAAGAUGGCAGGAUGUCAUCAGACUCAGCAUUAGGCUGCCUGUUAAUCAUCACGCCCUCUCCUCCCACUUACUUUCCUAUCAUCCCAUAGAAGGUCCCUAACAGCUGUCCCCAAGGUCUCCCAGACUCUAGAAAUUACUCUUUAAGCAAUAUGUCGAAACACCAUUACUGCCUCUCAGCACGUGGCACCACUUCCCCACCCUUCCUCUGUUAACCACUUUUCUCUCCUGCCUCUGUUUCUCCAGCUCCAGUAAUCUUCCUUAGCUCCCCUCCAACCUACAGCCAAUCCACCCCAUCCUCUCUCCUUCCUCUUUCCCAAUUACCCACACCAAGACGGAACACCUGUCAGAAGCCGUGUUCCCUCGGGGCCCCUCACAACCUCUCGCAAUCCCCCCACUUCCUAUCCACCCCCAGCUCCCUGACGUCCCUGGCCCUCCCGACAGCUGGGCCCUUCCUGGACCCCUCACAGCACCAAGCUAAGCCAAUGUUCCAAAAUAGUCUUCCGAACAACGAUGACAACUGCAGGGUUAUUUUGGAAGGUCUGCGUGACCAAGACCCAGAACAAUGCAGAAAAGACAAUAGAGUGACCUUUGACAGUGAGAGCUGCGGGUUACUGGAAAAGGAAACAAAUCAGAUGGGAGAGGCUACAAUUGUGCACGUGGACGCUAAAAAGCCUACUUUGGAAGUUUUUUAUAAUCCUGGAUGGAGAUACAAGACCUUUAUCAGAUGUAUAACUUGGAAGUCGUUUCUCCCAGUCUGUGGCUUGAAUUUUCAUUUUCUCAAGUCUGAAGAUGGGCACUGUGUGAGAUCAUCCAAGAAUCCAGCCUCCUUUUAUGCUCUUGCUCCACCGUUCAUUUUCCUGAUCCAAGAUGGCUCACUGCCAUGUCCACGUUCCUGUCAGCAGGAGAAGGGCAGGGGAGAAGAUGGGCGCAUCCUGGUCCUUUCAGGACUCCACCCAGAAGUUGCCUGCACCGCCUCCACUCAUAGCCUGUUGUCCUGAACUUAGUCACACGAUCCAUCCUAGCUAAAAAGGAGGCUAGGAAAAAUAGUACUCAUUGGGGUGGCCAGGUGCCCACUCAAAACCAGGAUGUCCAAGGGGAGAUUGGAUAAUAAGCAACUCUGUGAUAAGACCUUCCAAAAGAACAGUCAAUAAUGUCAGCAAUAUUUAUAAAAUAAACCAUUUCCCAUUGAAUUAAAAUGCCAUUCUUGUGUUUAUUAAGGCCCACAUGUAAUUGGAUCUGUUUCUAGAUGCUAAUCUGUUCCACUGUUAUAUUAAAAUAACUUUACAAUAAUUGUUAGCUAUUCUUGUAUUAAUUUAUAGUUCUUGAUUUUAGUAGUUUAUCUUUUGUUAACUGAUUUAAGCUAUUUGAUUUAUACAGAGAUCAAGUUAAAGAUGGUCAAACAUUUUGUAAAAACCAGUUUGUCCCGGCACUUGGAUAUUAUAAUUUGAGGCAGAGAUCAUUUUCUUAGUGCUGAUUUUUUGAUGUUAAGAAGCGUCUCCGCCCACCAGUGACUACAACUAAGAGGUCACACAUCCGUUUCAUCAUCAUAGCCUUAGAGAAAAAGAAAACAUCAUGACCACAGCAGGGUUCUGGCGACAGGAAACGGCAUUUCCCAGGGUAUUAGGCAUCCGGGACUCGCCUUAUCAUCCAUUUCAAAAUAAUGGGUGUGAGCCAGCGACAGAAUGAGGCCUGGUGGUUAGAUAAAUUCCCAAGUUGAUGGGAAAUUAUCGAAGGGCUCUCCCAGCUCCUGUCUCCCGCGCAUCGACCAUCUGAAGCGCAUGCGCGUGGUUCAAUUAGCGUCUUAACUGCUAGCAGUGCCUCUCCGCCAUUAUCUCCUUCCACCGGGCCUCAGUCCCUCUUUUAUAGAGGAAAGAUGUGCGCAAGUCUAUGCCUUAUCCUCAAAAGUGCCUUCCUUUGACUUUAUAGCAAAGAAAAGCUAAUUGAUCAAAAGAAGCUGCACUUGGGAUUCCAUUCCGUUCCACCCUGCUAGUGUAUAUCCUUGGCCUUUCUUUAAAACCUAAAUACAGCCUCUCUUCCACGAAGGCUUGCUUGGUUUCCAGGACUCUCCACAGCGGAAUAAGCUAGAAGGAUCUUAGAGAUCUACAGGCAGGUUCUCAACCCUCACUUCCUCUGUCCCCUGAGAAGCUUCUAGCAGGUACCUCUGCCAGCACUCCUCCCCCAGAGUCUGACCAGGAGGUCCGAGAUGGAGCCUCAGCUCUUGAUUCUUUUAACUUCCACGGCGAUUAUGAGCAGCAGAGAGGGUGGGCAACUAUUCGACUAGGCCAACCCCUUCACUUAACAAAGGAGGGUAUUGAAACCACACGACACCUACAAAGAUAAUCAUGUGCUCCUUAGGAGAAGCCAGCUCCUUCAAGGCAGGGAUUUUGUCUCCUUCGCAGCUCUAUUUCCAGCACCUAGAACUGUGCCUACUUAGCAUGUGGUAGAUUUGAAUGAAUGAAUGGAAUGAAUGAGUGAAUGAAUGAAUGAAUCCAUGAAUGAGUGAAUCCAUGUGAUACCAACUUUAAACUAGAAAACUGGAUCCUGGUCCAGGAUAUGACACCAGGGCCUUCCUUUGCUGGAGGCUAAUCCAUGACUAGUUCUCCGGUGUGUUCACCGUGAUUGCUUGGCUUGAUAACCAGUGUUCCUUGUGACGGCCUCUGCUCUGAGUCCUCAUCCUCGCCGCCUCCCAGGCUCUGUAAUUGCUCUGCAUCAUAGGAGGUCAUGAUUGGUCGGAGUCCACCUUGGGUGCCCGGAAUGGCCCCUGUUGGAGCACACACCUUAAGGAGUGCCCCGGGCCAGGUCAGGGAGGAAAGGUCAGGGGCGUGGAGG